GGAUCCAUAGCUCAGCUGGGAGAGCAUCUGCCUUACAAGCAGGGGGUCAUAGGUUCGAGCCCUAUUGGGUCCA
rnacentral:tRNA from 1 species